AACAACCAGGUAACAGACCCACCUAUCAACAGAGGCAGAGGAUGAUGGACCGGCGUUUCGACACUCUUCCAAUGUCGUGCGCUCAACUGCUUGCCAAUCUUCAACAGCUACAACUGGUGCAGCUACGCACUCUGGCUCCUCCUGUUGGUAGACUUCCGGUGGGAUACGAUGCCAACGCUAGGUGUAGCUUUCACUCUGGGGCACCUGGCCACAAUAUUGAGAACUGCAAAGCUUUUAAGCACGUAGUUCAGGACCUGAUUGAUUCAAAGGCUAUCAGCCUUGCACCGGCUCCAAAUGUCGUCAACAAUCCCAUGCCAC
rnacentral:lncRNA from 1 species